rnacentral:rRNA from 1 species
GAUCUUGGCUCAGGAUGAACGCUAGCGACAGGCUUAACACAUGCAAGUCGAGGGGCAUCACGGGAGUAGCAAUACAACUGGUGGCGACCGGCGCACGGGUGAGUAACGCGUAUGCAACCUACCUAUCAGAGGGGAAUAACCCGGCGAAAGUCGGACUAAUACCGCAUAAAACAGGGGCACCGCAUGGUGAUAUUUGUUAAAGAAAUUCGCUGAUAGAUGGGCAUGCGUUCCAUUAGGUAGUUGGUGAGGUAACGGCUCACCAAGCCGACGAUGGAUAGGGGAACUGAGAGGUUGGUCCCCCACACUGGUACUGAGACACGGACCAGACUCCUACGGGAGGCAGCAGUGAGGAAUAUUGGUCAAUGGGCGGGAGCCUGAACCAGCCAAGUCGCGUGAAGGAAAGAAGGAUCUAUGGUUCGUAAACUUCUUUUGCAGGGGAAUAAAGUGCAGGACGUGUCCUGUUUUGUAUGUACCCUGAGAAUAAGGAUCGGCUAACUCCGUGCCAGCAGCUGC